rnacentral:rRNA from 1 species
GACGAACGCUGGCGGCGUGCUUAACACAUGCAAGUGGAGCGACGAACCAGGGCUUGCCCUGGGGCAGAGCCGCGAACGGGUGAGUAACACGUGGGUAACCUACCCCGAUGACCGGGACAACCCGAGGAAACUCGGGCUAAUACCGGAUGUUGUCGUUUUCUCUAAGGAAACCGACUAAAGAUAGCUUCGGCCUUCGCAUCGGGACGGGCCCGCGGCCCAUUAGCUUGUUGGUGGGGUAACGGCCUACCAAGGCGACGAUGGGUAGCUGGUCUGAGAGGACGACCAGCCACACUGGGACGGAGACACGGCCCAGACUCCUACGGGAGGCAGCAGUGGGGAAUCUUGCGCAAUGGGCGAAAGCCUGACGCAGCAACGCCGCGUGGGGGAAGAAGGCCUUCGGGUUGUAAACCCCUUUCAGUUGGGACGAAGCUUCCAGAGUUAAUAGCUUUGUGGAGUGACGGUACCUUCAGAAGAAGCCCCGGCUAACUACGUGCCAGCCGCCGCCGUAACAC